UUGAUCCUGGCUCAGAAUCAACGCUGGCGGCGUGCCUAACACAUGCAAGUCGAACGAGAAAGUGGAGCAAUCCAUGAGUAAAGUGGCGACCGGGUGAGUUACACGUGACCAAUCUACCCUCGAGUGGGGGAUAACCUCGGGAAACCGGGUCUAAUACCGCAUAAUAUCUCUGGAUCGGAAGAACUGGAGAUCAAAGGAGUAAUUCGCUUAAGGAGGAGGUCGCGGCUGAUUAGCUAGUUGGCGGGGUAAUGGCCCACCAAGGCAAAGAUCGGUAGCCGGCCUGAGAGGGCGCACGGCCAUACUGGAACUGAAACACGGUCCAGACUCCUACGGGAGGCAGCAGUGGGGAUUUUUGCGCAAUGGGGGAAACCCUGACGCAGCAACGCCGCGUGGAGGAUGUAGUCCCUUGGGACGUAAACUCCUUUCGACCCGGACGAUAAUGACGGUACUGGUGGAAGAAGCCCCGGCUAACUUCGUGCCAGCAGCCGCGGUAAUAAGGU
rnacentral:rRNA from 1 species